GCACUGUGCAGGGAGGGUAUUUAUCGAGCAGCUCAGGCCUUCCUUAGUUUUUUGUAUGGCAGUUGCAGGGCUGUCUGCUGCCUGAUGUCCCACUUGGACUCAAGCUUUUGGCUGUUUUUGUUUCGUGGUUACGUUUCCCCAUGGCUGUAGGGGCAGCCUGGCUUUUGGAUCUGCUCAGCUCUGCCUCCCUCGACCUCCCAGAUGCAUGGAUAAGGCUUCUCAGCUGUCUUGGCAAGGUGGAUUCUCCGUGGAAACUCUGAUAAUUGCCAGCGAGUGCUGGGAAGGUGUCAACGCCGAAUGCGGGGAAGCGUUGGGUAGAAGGAAGGGUUCGCUCAGGAGCUGGGAGGGACUGGUGAGUCAGCCAGGCCUUGAACUUUCUAACUCGAACCGCUGCUAAGAAUACACGAUGUUACUUGCUAUCUAGAGCUGAGGAGGUUCCAUACCAAAAGUGGUUUUCCAUCUCUUGCUACAUACUUCUGAAGCCCUCGAAGUGCAAACAAUUUCUGCUCUUUCUGUAUGCAUUGUACUUGUUCUUUGUGGAACACAUUAUGCAAUGUACCUCUUAAGAUUCUGCUCUCUUGUCACAGCAGUGAGUGAUCUUAAUAGAGGGAGAUAUUUUAAAUGAGCGUUGCCUUAAACUUUUCAUAGGGAAGGCAGCAUGUGGGGAAAACAAUGAAACUGUACCUAACGCAGUGAUUCACUUUGAUUUGAUUUUUGAGCUUAUAAACCAAAGAACCCAUGUUUUGUAAGUAACAUAUGCAAUAGACCAACUUCUCAGCUGGAGUAAGCUGGCAACAUGCUAGGGUCACAGGAAUGAUGGGUUUUGCUAUAGCUGAGAACGCCUUCUGAUGUCAAGUAGAAGUACUUCAGUUUCCAGGGAAUGUGAUCCCGUCUGACUAACAUGGAGGAGUCAAGUGAGCUGAAAGGUACUAAUUGGUUCUCCCAUCAGGGGAAGACUCGUGUUUUCAGCUCUGUCCCAAGUUCAAUGUCAAGCAGAGAAAAGAGCUGCAGCUCUGCGACCAAUACCGUGGGGCAAGCGGUGGUACUUGUCAUAUUCUUUUCUUUAACUGAAAUUGUGCCUCAGUGAGCACAGCCCCUCACCAGGACCAGGUGCUGCUUCGGAGUGCUUUGCAUCUGGGGAGCACGAGGUCACUUUGGGGUCCCAGGUCACCAAGGGAAGUGUCUUCUAAACCAAGAGGCAUCUUGCAGAGGAGGUGCUGGGAGCCCAGGGAGUGUUGGCUGCCCCUCUGCCUUCAGAAAAGGUGCACACCAAAGUAAAGAGGCAGUUGAGGACCCCCUGCUUUUAAUUUAAAGAUGGAGAAGUUGAUGAAUGAGUCUUUCCAUGUAGUUUCUUGCUGAUGGUGGGAUGGGAUGACUUUUUGUUUCAGCUGUUUCAAGUCGCUGUGCUACAUGGAAGGAGCUGUACUUCCCCCGUCUUGUGCUCCUGACCUUGGAGGUUUGGGAGAAUUGUCUGUCCCUGACUCACCUACUGCCUUAGGCCUGGGGGGUGCACAGCAGAAACGCCUCUCAGAUCAGAAGGGAAGAUCCAAAAAGGCAUUCAUCACCAUGAUUGCAUCAGUAGAUUAGCAGGAAGCUGGGAAGGGUGGCACAGAAGAGUCCCCUUCCGACUGCAGACCCAGAGAAACAGGAUUAGAAGGAAAAGCUUGGGAGGGGAAGAAGAGGAACAUUUUCCGUGGUAUUUUCAGCCAAAGAGCUUGGUCUAAUCCUUGUCCUCCCCUGAGGCUCUGCAUGACCUUCAGCCAGUCGCUUCCUUACGCGCUAAGCAGGGUUUGAUUGCGUUGAUCACUUCAAGUCUCAGGAUGGCAAACGCCAUGCAAGAGCUAAGCGCUAAUACAACUUUUAAUCAAAUGCAGCUACAGGUGCUUUACUGCAACCUUUAUAGAAGCAGUCCCUCCCCGUGCCAGGGUCCUGUGGGAGGGAAACCUGCCGUCACCCCCCGCCAGCCCAGGGCGGCUCAGCACCUCUCGGGAUGAGGGAAAGCAAAGCCAUUGCUCUUGUGACACCUGAGGCCAGAUAAUGCCUGGCACUGGCCGACUUAGCCUUAAAUAUAUAUGUAUUAAUCGCUGUGAGUCUCUUCAGUGACCUUUUGGAGAACAAACUUGCCAGCAGUCAGGGUGCUCCUGUCCCAGUCUGCAGCAGGAGAGCAAAGGUCUCCCAGAAUGAUUCUCUCGUAAAUCAUUCAGCUUUUUGUUUUUGCUUUGGCCCAACACCAGGCUGUGUACAUCUCUGAAGAACCUGUUCAUUGUGUAGGAGCAAAGGAUUAAGUUUAGUGCCUGCAGAAUUGUAUGCAAUUCCUCUCCCAAAGCCGUGCACUGCAGGGAAUAGAGAAGAUUAUACCUUAUGCUGACAUCUUCCAAACUCACCAAGAGAUACAGGGGCUAUUUUAGAGUUGCUGAGACACCGUUUGGCUCUGCAAAUGGGCUCUCAGGCUUUAAGGGCUCAGUUACUCGGGGUGAUAUGAGCAGCAUUUGUUCUCAGGAGGGAUGACGAGGAUGGGAAGGUGGAUUCUGUCUCCCACAGCUGGGUGCCCACCACCAGCUCACAAGAUCCUCGGUUUUCCUCUCUAUAGAACGGAGCCAUAAAUUUCCUGCUGUCUUUGGAAAUCCUAGGAUGAAAUAGGGAAGCACAAAUCAAUGGUUAUGGUGAAGAAGGGAAGGAUAUAAAGCAAUAUAAUUGAUAUUCUCAUUUCUCAGGCAAAAUGAUUUAGGGCUUUGUUUUUAAAGAGCAUGGAGAUUUAUAAACUCACAAGGCCAGGCUGUCUUCUGGUGUAAAUUGUCAUUGCUAUUUCAGUUAACAUCAGCUGUGAUUCUGGGCCAUGGCUGAAUUUCUGUAGCUUAUUAAUAGGAUUCUGUUGACUGUUAUCAUUUGGUUUAAGCAACACUUUCUGUCUCAUAGUCUACAUAUCUCAAAAGCCAUUCUUCACCUGGGGCUGUGUUGAUGAAACUGAUUAGCAGAAGGGAGGGAGGAAGAAAUGUGUUCGUGGUGAAAAGGGCAGUACAUCAAGCUAAAAUGCAGGAGAAAUGCUGAGUUCACAGAACGCACCAGGAAUUAUUAACCUUUGCAUGAAAGCUGUGCUGCACGAUGGUAGGAAAUUUGCCUAAGUUGGACUUCAGCAUCUCUCUGACACCCCUUGGCAUACGGGGAAAAUACCGCAGCAGCGUUGAUGGAGAGCCUGAUUUUUCCUCUUCCUUGAUAUCUUCAUCCAGCUACUUCAGAGCACCUCUGCCUUAAUUCAGCCAUGAAACAACACUUGGCUCUCCCUGAAUCUUUGCCAGGUAAUGUGUUAGAGGGGAAUUUCUCUGUACAGAAGAUUGCAGUAGGCAUUUCCACUAUGGACAUGGAUGCUUUGAGAGUCUGGAAAGAGUUUUCAGCCACACGUGUGGAUUCGUCUGGAGGCACUGUAAGAGCAUCCCAGUCUGCCUGUCGCAGCCCUGUGACAGGCUAACGUGGUCAGAUCAGGGUGUGUCUGUUCCCACGUGGGGAAAAUUCAGCUUUGGCGACCUCCAAAGAAACCAUUUUGGGGUUAGUUGUGCCUUUCUGCCCUCUUAGAAAGCAAUGCAUAUAUCAGGUCUGGCAUGGAAAUGCCAUCGUGAAACCAGAGCGUGAUCAGCUCCUUGGAGAUGUGCACAAUGAAUAGUUUGAAUCCUUUUGAAAUAAAAUGUUUUGGCUUCGGAUGCGUUCAAAUGUUUUGUCUUUCCGAAAAUAAAUAAAUAAUG